rnacentral:rRNA from 1 species
AUUGAACGCUGGCGACAUGCUUUACACAUGCAAGUCGAACGGUAACAGGCCGCAAGGUGCUGACGAGUGGCGAACGGGUGAGUAAUGCAUCGGAACGUGCCCAGUCGUGGGGGAUAACGCAGCGAAAGCUGUGCUAAUACCGCAUACGAUCUAUGGAUGAAAGCGGGGGACCGUAAGGCCUCGCGCGAUUGGAGCGGCCGAUGUCAGAUUAGGUAGUUGGUGGGGUAAAGGCUCACCAAGCCAACGAUCUGUAGCUGGUCUGAGAGGACGACCAGCCACACGGGGACUGAGACACGGCCCAGACUCCUACGGGAGGCAGCAGUGGGGAAUUUUGGACAAUGGGCGCAAGCCUGAUCCAGCAAUGCCGCGUGCAGGAAGAAGGCCUUCGGGUUGUAAACUGCUUUUGUACGGAACGAAAAGGUUUGGGUUAAUACCCUGGGCCGAUGACGGUACCGUAAGAAUAAGCACCGGCUAACUACGUGCCAGCCGCCGCCGUAA